rnacentral:rRNA from 1 species
AUUGCGGCACUAACGGCCUGGUCCAUCCGGCGUCAUCGUAAUGCGGCCAUCUUCGACAAAACUGCGCCCUUCACCGUCACCCUCCUGAUGGCGAUCAAAGACGAGGCCCGCUCCUGGGCCUAUGCAGGAGUCAAAGGACUCGACAGUAUAAUCCAUGUAACGUAG